UGGCGCACGGAUGAGUAACGCGUGGGUAAUCUACCUUCGAAUUGGGGAUAACGUUGCGAAAGCGACGCUAAUACCGAAUAACAUCUAUUAAUCUUCGGGUUUUUGGAUCAAGGGUGGCCUCUACAUGUAAGCUUCCGUUUGAGGAUGAGCUCGCGUACCAUUAGCUUGUUGGUAGGGUAAUGGCCUACCAAGGCUACGAUGGUUAGCUGGUCUGAGAGGAUGAUCAGCCACACUGGAACUGACACACGGUCCAGACUCCUACGGGAGGCAGCAGUGAGGAAUUUUGCGCAAUGGGGGAAACCCUGACGCAGCAACGCCGCGUGAGUGAUGAAGGCUUUCGGGUCGUAAAGCUCUGUCAAGUGGGAAGAAAAUACAAAUUGAUAAUAUCCUUUUUGUACUGACGGUACCACUGAAGGAAGCACCGGCUAACUCCGUGCCAGCAGCCGCGGUAAUACGGGGGGUGCAAGCGUUAUUCGGAUUUACUGGGGCGUAAAGAGGCGCGUAGGCGGUUUUCUUAAGUCAGAUGUGAAAGCCCGGGGCUUAACCCCCGGAAGUGCAUUCUGAAACUGGANGGACUUGAGUAUGGGAGAAGGGAAGUGGGAAUUCCUGGUGUAGGCGGUGGAAAUGCGUAGAUAUCAGGAGGAACACCUGGUGGGCGAAAGGCGACUUCCUGGACCAAUACUGACGCUGAGGCGCGAAGGCGUGGGGAGCAAACAGGAUUAGAUACCCUGGUAGUCCACGCAGUAAACGGUGAUCACUAGGUGUAGC
rnacentral:rRNA from 1 species